rnacentral:rRNA from 1 species
CAGUCGAGCGAACAGACGAGGAGCUUGCUCCUCUGACGUUAGCGGCGGACGGGUGAGUAACACGUGGGUAACCUACCUAUAAGACUGGGAUAACUCCGGGAAACCGGGGCUAAUACCGGAUAACACAUGAAACCGCAUGGUUUCAUGAUGAAAGACGGUUUUGCUGUCACUUAUAGAUGGACCCGCGGCGUAUUAGCUAGUUGGUAAGGUAACGGCUUACCAAGGCAACGAUACGUAGCCGACCUGAGAGGGUGAUCGGCCACACUGGAACUGAGACACGGUCCAGACUCCUACGGGAGGCAGCAGUAGGGAAUCUUCCGCAAUGGGCGAAAGCCUGACGGAGCAACGCCGCGUGAGUGAUGAAGGUCUUCGGAUCGUAAAACUCUGUUAUUAGGGAAGAACAAGGGUGUAAGUAACUAUGCACCCCUUGACGGUACCUAAUCAGAAAGCCACGGCUAACUACGUGCCAGCAGCCGCGGUAAUACGUAGGUGGCAAGCGUUAUCCGGAAUUAUUGGGCGUAAAGCGCGCGUAGGCGGUUUUUUAAGUCUGAUGUGAAAGCCCACGGCUCAACCGUGGAGGGUCAUUGGAAACUGGAAAACUUGAGUGCAGAAGAGGAAAGUGGAAUUCCAUGUGUAGCGGUGAAAUGCGCAGAGAUAUGGAGGAACACCAGUGGCGAAUGCGACUUUCUGGUCUGCAACUGACGCUGAUGUGCGAAAGCGUGGGGAUCAACAGGAUUAGAUACCCUGGCUAGUCCACGCCGUAAACGAUGA